AGCGAACGCUGGCGGCAGGCUUAAACACAUGCAAGUCGAACGGGCGUAGCAAUACGUCAGUGGCAGACGGGUGAGUAACGCGUGGGAACGUACCUUUUGGUUCGGAACAACACAGGGAAACUUGUGCUAAUACCGGAUAAGCCCUUACGGGGAAAGAUUUAUCGCCGAAAGAUCGGCCCGCGUCUGAUUAGCUAGUUGGUGAGGUAACGGCUCACCAAGGCGACGAUCAGUAGCUGGUCUGAGAGGAUGAUCAGCCACAUUGGGACUGAGACACGGCCCAAACUCCUACGGGAGGCAGCAGUGGGGAAUAUUGGACAAUGGGCGCAAGCCUGAUCCAGCCAUGCCGCGUGAGUGAUGAAGGCCCUAGGGUUGUAAAGUUCUUUCGGCCGGGAAGAAAUCGUAUGGGUUAAUACCCUGUGCGGAUGACGGUACCGGCAUAAGAAGCACCGGCUAACUACGUG
rnacentral:rRNA from 1 species